rnacentral:rRNA from 1 species
UACGGAGAGGGCUAGCGUUAUUCGGAAUCAUUGGGCGUAAAGGGCGCGUAGGCGGGUUAGUAAGUUAAAAGUGAAAUCCCAAGGCUCAACCUUGGAACUGCUUUUAAAACUGCUAGUCUAGAGAUUGAAAGAGGAUAGAGGAAUUCCUAGUGUAGAGGUGAAAUUCGUAAAUAUUAGGAGGAACACCAGUGGCGAAGGCGUCUAUCUGGUUCAAAUCUGACGCUGAGGCGCGAAGGCGUGGGGAGCAAACAGG